UUCUUAUCAAGAGUGGUGGAGGGACUGGCCCGAUGAAACCCGGCAACCGGUAUUUUGUAAUACAGCGGUGCCAAUUCCUGCGAUGGAAACAUUGAUAGAUGAGAG
rnacentral:ncRNA from 2 species